GCCCUCUUAGCUCAAUCGGAAGAGCGCCAGACUUUUAAGAUCUACCAAGGUCUACAGGUGAUCUGGCGGUCGUGAGUUCGAGCCUCACAGAGGGCG